AGCAAGCAAGCAAGUAGGUAACUAUUUCCUGACUCUGUUGUCACCUUGUCCAUUCCCCUGACAUUAGUGGUAGCAUUAUUUAUCCUUAUGAUUCACAGAUAUUGAUGCAGUUUAUAGAAAAUAUCUUCACACGUAGACAACUAGCAGGCUAGGUUACUAGAACCCUUCGUCAUCACAUUUAAUUUUCUAUGGGUAGGGAUUAAAAGAAAAACAUUUUGUUUUUGAGGACCACACAGUCAAGAAUGAGCUGCUUGGCAAAGCACGUUCUCCUUCAUGGAGAGCACAUGUUGCGGUGGGGUCUAACAAGACAUCCCACUGUUGCUGGGCGGGUAAAGGUAGUUGGCCACCUUUGCCAUUGGGCUCCUCUUGUCGUUGGGGAGAAUUUGAUGUUGCCAUUUUAUGAUUGACAGCCAAGAAGGUUUAUAUUUCCUGCGCGCAGCGUUGAGAUUCCUCUUUUCGCUGUGUGCAUCGGAACACCCGUCCACCCUCCCUCCCUAUAUUUAGGGUUGUUUGCAUUGACCUUGCUAUGCCUGUCAUGGGGUUGUCUGCUUUUGGGGCAGGGGCCUGGUAGGAAUUUUGUCCAUUUGGCUGAGUGGCUGGUGCCAUUUGGUUUUUGCCUACUGCGUAGCAAAUCAUCACAACUUGUAAAGUUGUGGUUAGGCAUUGGUUUUAUGAAUUGGUUGGUGGAGGGGCAUGGAUUGGCUGUGCCUGCCCCUCUAAUGCUGCUGCUGCAAGGGAUUCCAUUAAAGGGAUACAGGGGCUCGCCAUGCUCUUGUCCGAACCCCUGUCAAGGGGCUAGGGCCACGCAAGAGCCCCUGGGAGCAUUUGGGGAGAGGUGAGGGCAUGGUUCCCAGCUCCAUCUUUCUCCCCAAAUUGUUUUCCCUUUCUGACUUUCGCAGGCAUGUAAAUGUCAGUCUGUCACCAGGCGGGGACAGGUAACCAAUGCCUAAGCAACCACUCACAUUUUUUUGUAUUUUAAUAAAGUUGUGGCCAAAAUUAUGCCAAAAACCUUAAACAAAAAUUCUGUGUGAAUUGUGUUUUAUUGGGGACCUCGACAUGAAACCUCUGUAGGCUUCCUCUAAAGGUGUAUACAGCCACACUCUCUUGUCUGAAACCAGAGGUAGGUUCCCCUGAAAUCUUAGUCUCCCCUUGUGGUUGCUUGGAUUGCUUCCAUUGUUAGGCUGCCCUGGCUCGCUGGUGAGCCAGAGCUGAAAAGAUCGCCCUGUGUAUUCUCAAAUUACUAUAUUCUACAUGGAUUUCCUGCGGCCUUUGAUCAUAAAAAGAUGGGAGCCUGUGGUUUCUCCUUUGUUCUCCAGUGUCUUUCCCUUUUGUACACAAGCGACUGAGUCACUGCUGAGUAAUCCCAAGGGUUGCGCUGUCUAACAAUGGACAGAAUCAGACACAACAACAAAGCAUCUCCCCACCCCCACUCCUUUUUAAAGGCAUUGCAUGCAUAUUCAGAAGUGCCCCAGCCUCAAAAGGCCAUGUGCUUACAUUGUCGACUGUAUGCGCCACUUGGCAAAAGGAAACUGACCUUCAGCUGAUCACACACACACACAGUGAGAGAGAGAGAGAGAGAGAGAGAGAGAGAGAGAGAGAGAGAGAGAGAGAGACUGCUUCUGGUGCUCUUGAAUAUGCAUGUCGAUGCCUGCACCACAACUUGGCAGCAAGUCAUUAGAGGCAUACAAGGAGGCAAGGCAAUGACAGUGAAAGGGGGCAGGUCCUGCUGGAGGAGGAUGUUGCCAUUGCUAUGUCAAGAGUCUGACUACGGGCAAAUUUAAGAGAGCUGUUAAGCUGGAGUCAUUGCAGCAGAAGAGCAUGCAAUCUGUUCAUGAAAGGAACUGGUAGUGAAGAACUCUGCUUGCUUUAAUUCAGCCACCGCUGUAGGAGAUAAAGGCUCGCUUCCUAGACCAGGAAUUGCCAGCUUCUAGUAUUCUUAGGGUGCUGCCCUGUAUUCCAGGAAGAUGUUCAGUGAUAGAAAUAUAAAUCAAUCUUUUCAUGGGAGGUCAAGUUGCACAGUAGAGCAUACCCUCCAAUAUUUCUCCAAUGAAAAUAGGGACAUGCUAUUCAACAACAACAACAACAAUAAUUUUAUUAUUUCUAUUCCACCCAUUUGAUUGGGUUGCCCCAGCCACUCUGGGUGGCUUCUAACAUAUAAAAAAAUAAAAAUAAAAUAUUAAACAUUAAAAAACUUCCCUAUACAGGGCUGCCUUCAGAUGUCUUCCAAAGGUUGUAUAGUCACUUAUCUCCUUGGCUUGCCCUGCCUAGGAAGUAGUUGUCAGGAUUAUAUGUUAAAUAGAUUUGGGAUAUUUGUUUUGCGAAGUGUUGUCCAGGCGGGGAUCCGCUUAUUCUGGGAAAGGCACCAGUGACCAGUCCAUCUAUUCUAAACACAGUGUUGAUCUUGCCUGUUUAUUCUGUUUACUCUAAAUAGCAGCCACUUGGGGGCUGGAUGGGAGAAAUCACCUCUCCCCUCCUGCAGCUGCUGUUUGCUGAUGGGUCAAACUAUGCACUUAUUGUUAUAAUUUUGGCUCACAGAUAGCUGCUAUACUAACAAGUACACUGUAGUAACAUUACCCUUGGAUAAAUGAUCAUCUGUACCUUCUUUAAUUCUUUUUUUAUAAUAAUAUUUAUUACAUUUCAAUUGCAAUAAUAGCCUCAUUAUAAGAAUGCCAAAUUAUAAUACAAUUACUAAUACCAAUCAUUCAGAUACCAAAUUAUAUAAUUUAGGUGGCCCCCUGUGUACUAGAAUUGAUGGUUUGCUGCUUUACUUUAUCUCUGCAUUCGAAAAUUUUCUUAUUUUCAAUUACACUCCGGUCAAAAUAACAAUCCCUUAUACAACAACUGCAAUAUUAACAACUUCCAUUUGUAUUGACACAUUAAAUGAUUUAUAAAACUACAGGUUAGGCCCUCAAACUGUAUCCUUGUUCUUCCUGUGUGUGGCAAUUAUUCUGUCCUUGUAAAAUAUUAUGUCUAUCUUUUCCUGGUCAUUGCUGUCCUCCUUCAUGACUUGGGUGGAGCUAAUAUCCCAUUGUUGUUUCUGCAAUUCUCCCCUUCUUUAAUUCUUACCCUGAAAUGAGCGGGUUUCCUUUUGAAUAAACAUGGUUAGGGUGGGAAUGUCCAGCUACAACCCCGAUCCUAGAGAAAUUAGUGACAAAAUCUCCCAUUGACCUCAAUGCAGCAGGAUUACAUGUUAAAAUAUCCAGGUACAGACAGAGACUACCUGCAAGGCACAAACCACAGGAAAAGACUCGCCUCUUCAUGUCCAGCUUGUGAACCUGCCAAGUCAUCUGGCUGUUGGGCAUACAAUGGAGGAUGAAAGGACCUGAAUGUGAACUAACAAGGCAAUAGCCGUCAAGAGCUUCUUUUUGUUUUACGUGUAUAUGCAAACAAAAGUAGCCCUGAUGUUACACCUGCCAUCUACCUACAGCUUGGCCUUUUGUCAAUAUUAGCUGGUUUUCUUAUGCUUCAGCACCAUUAACAACCGGCAGACAAUCUUCCCAUGCACAGCUCGGGUUUCAGGUUUUGUACAGGAGAAAUGCACAUCCUGUCAUAUUGGAAGGCAGAACUGAAAACAGGACUGCUGCUAAUACUGGACUGGGCUUUAGGGACUCGGUUUCCUUGCGAUUGGCACUAAUUCAAAAGCAUAAUAUUUUCAAGGUACAAAAUGGCCAAUCUGCUUGAGCAAUCAGAUCUUCUCAACGUCGCUGCUCGAUGCCGUUUCAUAACUCUUUGCAGACCAUUAGAGGAUAUUAACGAAAACACUGCUCUGAUCUCAGCAACAGUAGCUGUUAACAGCAGGAGUGCCCUUCCUGGAGAUAUUGAUUUCUUUAUCUGGGGUCUAUUCUUAAGUGAGGAUAUAGACAGAACUGUUAAUCAGAGAUAGACAGAGAGAGAGCACGUGAAACUGCCUAUUUCUUGGGCUGUAAGAUAUGUUAUUUAUAGCGUUCAUGCAUCAAAAGAUAUUCUGCUGUAACUAUUUGAAAGGAAAUAUUCAGGGUGGAAUUCAACUACCUUUUAUUGAUAAAUAAAAUAGACUUAGCCAUGUUUAUUAAUUUCAAUGGGUCUUCUCUGAGGAGAUCUAGCAUUGAAUUCCACCCUCAGUGCUGAAUUUAUCUUUGUGAAUUUAUGGGAUGAGUACAUGAUGAUAUAUGACUGGAUAAAAUGUUGAAGUGGUUGGCAGGAGCUGGGACAGAGCAAGGGAUUCAAACUGCCAACCUUCUGAUUGGCAAGCCCAAGAGGCUCAGUGGUUUAGACCAGUGCUCCCCAACCUUUUUAUCGCCGCGGACCAGUAAAUGUUUGAUAAUUUUUCCGUGGCCCACUUGUUUUGAUUUAAUAAUUUUAAUUUAAUUGUAUUUAAACAUGCCUUCAAAAUAAAAUACAGCUACACCAAAAAAUGAAUAUAAAGUGAUUUAUUUUAUUUAACUCACUAGAAUGCCAAAUCAAUGAGAACCCUGAGCUUGUUUCUUUGCAACGAGACGGUUCCAUCUGGGGGUAAUAGGAGACAAUGACACCCAAAGUGUGUUGCUUAUGUCCAGUUUAUUCCGUUGUUUUGUUUUGGUUGCUGUCACUGCAACUCUCGUUCCUUGAAGGUUUUUAAGCAGUGGUUGGAUAGCCAUCUGUCAUUGAUACUUUAGCUGAGAUUAUGCAGAGGGUUGGACUUGAUGACCCUUGGGGUCCCUUCCAACUUCAGUUCUAUUAUUCUAAUUAUUUAAAGAUGAAGAACCAUAAGAAAAAUCAGGAUCCUUGUUGUUAGGUUGUGGGUGAACAUAUCAGACGGCACAGCGAUUCUCCAAACAGCUCUUGUUUAUUCACAGGUCAGAACAGAACUGAACUGAAGGGUUCAGCCAGCCUGCUUAUAUAGAGCUCCAGUACAACGUAACUCUAACAACUUUCUGUAACUAUCCAAUCACUGAACGUCACUUUCGAUCCCUUAUUUGCAUAUGUGGACCUGAACUAUCUACAGUAUCCCCCUGCUGGCCUAGGGUGAGAACUUCACUUGUCAUUGCACUUGGACUGCAGACUGACGAGCUACAUAGGUUACGGGAUCACAUUUGCCCCCACUAUUUAAUUAUCUCAUGCAUGUCAGUCUUAUACAUAUUUGCAACAUCUUUUCUCUUGUUUUGCAGUAAUACAUUUGUUCUCUUUUGCAACAUUGUCAUCUAUCUUCUGGGCAUAACAGCCACACCACAAAUCUUCCAUUUCUAGCUAUAGCUAUUUGGUUAUGUUUUAAAGCUCCAUCUUUUAUCCUGUAGAUAGUCAUACUGAAUACAACAGAAGGAACCUUGGCUGGUCCAUUUCAUCAUUUUUAGGGAAUGCCCACUGAUAACAUUUCAUUUUCUAGAAAUCUGCUAUGAGAAUUUAAUUUCAGCCGUACUCUUAUCUGAACAUGCUAGUAAAUAACAACCUCCCUUCCAGCACCUCCAUUAGGGCUCAUAUAAAUGGAAAUUUCUUUUAGUGGAGAGAACACAGCCAUUUGAGCUGAACUGCAUGAUCCUUUGCCUCUGGGGAGAGUGAAAAGCUCGCUAUUUUUCAGCAUCCUAUUUAAUUUCUGUUUCAAAUGAGGAUUCAGCGUUCUUGGGAUCCAUUUAUUUGCAUGUACACCUUGACUGAAAUGACAGCAUUUCAGUUAAAUAGGAUGAACGAUGUAAAAAGAGGUAAUAAACUCAAGGCUAGCCAUUAAAACAAAGGCUCGCUUUAAAGCAGGAAAAUUGUAUUGGUGCUCAUUCAGUCUUAGCUUUCGUUGCCUCCGCCCCAUCAGUGUUUUUUUGUAGGACCAAGCCGCACAUAAUGGGAUCUCUUGAUAUAUUUUUCUUUUUCUAAAAGCAGCGGGGGGGGGGUGAUCAGGGCUGUGGUGUGGAGAGCAGGAUUAACCCUUUCCCAGUCUAGGUCAGCUGUAUACUAGCUACAUCUGGUAUGCUGGCUGAGAGCCUACCGGCCUGUGCACUGUCUCGCCAGGGUGGUACAUGCUCUGGUCAGGAUGAGGAGGGGCAAAGUGGUGGUGAGGGGCUCCCAUUUCUGCACCCACCUUGGCCCAACCUCAACACUCUCCCCUUGCCCCAUCCAAGUAGGCUGCAGUUCCAGUGUUGACAGAAGUGUAGCAUCAUUGCUCCACCAACAUACCCUCCAACAUUUCUCCAAUGAAAAUAGGAACGUCCUGUUUAAUAAUAAUAAUAAUAAUAAUAAAAUUUUAUUAUUUAUACUCCACCCAUCUGACUGGUUUCCCCAGCCAUUCUGGGAAGCUUCUUUCUUGUUUUAUAUAAUUUUAUUAACUUUUCUGUUUUACAAUUUAGAAUACUCAUUUAAACAACCUUAAAAUAUCAGUGACUUCCCUUCCUCCAUAACGGGGUGAGCUCCCAUUGUCUGUCCCAGCUCCUGCCAACCUAGAAGUUCGAAAGCACACCAGUGCAAGUAGAUAAAUAUGCACCACUGCGGCGGGAAGGUAAACAGCAUUUCCGUGUGCUCUGGCUUCCGUCAUGGUGUCUUCUUGUGCCAGAAAUGGUUUCGUCAUGCUGGCCACAUGACCCGGAAAGCUGUCUGUGGACAAAUGCCAGCUCCCUUGGCCUGAAAGCGAGAUGAGCGCUGCAACCCCAUAGUUGCCUUUGUCUGGACUUAACUGUCCAGGGGUCCUUUACCUUUACCUAUAGUUGGAUCCAACCAGAAAAUAGUGAGAGUUCGAAAGCACCCACAGAGAAACAGACGUGCCCUAAGCAAGCCAGACUCUUUACAGCACCAGUUUUUAUGAAACUGCAUGUGAAAUGAACAUUCCUUGCAUUACAAAUGUGUAAGACCCUGGCAAAUCUGAAGUAGUGAUACAAUGGUCUCAUCCACAUCAUAAAGUGCAGUUAAAGCACAUGUCUUCCCCCAAAAGAAUCCUGUGAAUUAUAGUUUGUUAAGGGUGCUGGGAAUUGUAGCUCUGUGAAGGGUUCAACUAUAGUUCUCUCUCCCCCCCGGGGGGGGGAGUUGUGGGGGGACGCCAUGGCUGCUAAAAUGGUUAGAAUGUGCUUUGAAUGUAUGUCUACAGAUGAAACCAACAUUAUCUGUGUGGCUGUGAUAAUUACCACCACUUGAGAAAUAUAAAGAGAAGCAAGCAAACUCUUUGGUGCUGCGUUAUGUAAACUGUUAAGUCUUACACCUUUUUGUCAACAUCCUUUAGGGAAAGAAUUAAGCCUGCAUGUAUGCGUGCGUGAGUUUUCCAUCCCUCAAAUAUCAUCCCGUUUUGCCUCCUUCCCCUAAUGGCAUAAUUGAAGUGCUCUGCAGAAGUGUAAUCACUGGAACUAUUCACAGUGGUGAGUAGGUUUUAAAUAAUCAGAUAGGAAAUAGGAAAUGGGCCCUUCUCUGCAGCUAUACGGCUCUGCUCAUUUACUAGCAAAUCUGCAAAUGAGCAAUAAACAGGAUUUCAUUAGCUGGAAAGCAGCAAUGUAUCAUUCAAAACUUAAUUCAGGACUGCGGUUUUGGAAUGGGCUUGCUAUAAAGGUGGCUGGUGUGCUAUUAAGGUUGUGUCUUUUCCAGCCUAGCACGGCAGCAGUCUAUAAUUUCUCUUGAUACGUUCUAAUUGAUGGAUAUAAAACUGGGCUAGGAGGAAAGAGUGAAACUUUAAAAAAGCUAACCUUCUAAUUAAAUACGGAGCAGAACGCACUUCUCCAACCUAUGCUACUUACUACUUUUGUGCUGUUCAGUGGUUUAUUUAUUUAUUUUUAAAAUAUGGUUCUGCAUGUUCAGUUGCAGACCCGAGUCUGGAAACACGAGUUGUCAUCAUAUGUGGUGGUCGUGUAAGGUAAUGAAAGCUUUCUGGGAAAUGAUAUAUAAUGAAAUGAAAAAAAAAUGUUUAAAAUAACUUUUGUUUAAAAAACCCAGAUGCUUUCCUAUUAGGAAUUGUAGGCACCAACAUCCCAAAGGAGCAGAAAAGACUUUUUACAGUAUGUACGCGACAACAACCACACGGAUGUUACUAGCCCAGAGAUAGAAAGAAGAAAGAGUCCCUAAUAGACAGGAAUGGCAAGCCAAGUUGAUGGACUACGCCGAAAUGGCAAAGUUGACUGGAAAGCUCAGGAACUAAGAGGACAAAAACUUUAAAAAAGAAUGGGUAAAGGAAAAUAUUUUCACCAAUAUAUGCCGUUCAAUGCCUACUUUACGGGACAUGGGUGGCACUGUGGGUUAAACCACAGAGCCUAGGGCUUGCCGAUCAGAAGGUCGGUGGUUCGAAUCCCCUCAACGGGGUGAGCUCCUGUUGCUCGGUCCCAGCUCCUGCCAACCUAGCAGUUUGAAAGCACGUCAAAGUGCAAGUAGAUAAAUAGGUACCGCUCCAGCGGGAAGGUAAACGGCUCUUGUUCGCCAGAAGUGGCUUAGUCAUGCUGGCCACAUGACCCGGAAGCUGUACGCCGGCUCCCUCGGCCAGUAAAGCGAGAUGAGCACCGCAACCCCAGAGUCAGUCACGACUGGACCUAAUGGUCAGGGGUCCCUUUACCUUUACCUAUGCCUACUUUUUCCAUGUAUGUGCAUUUUUAUGCACAUUACUUGGCCGGAGGACAGCACUGCAAAGUUCAGAGAUGUGUAACUUUCCAAAGAUGGCUGUAUUUCGGUUCAUGUUUUGUUUCAAAAAGUGCAGAUUAGGUAGAUUCAUUUUAAAAUGUGAACUGAAUCAAAUUUCUCCCUUAUCCGGACUUCUUCCUAUCAUAUUUUAGCUGUUUGAUGGCAACCCAGGUUCCCAAAUACAGAUUUAAAGCCAUUCACAAUAAAUAUUUUUUUUUUCUAACUUGCUGGUCAGACAUAAUACUUUCAUUUUUUCCAGCCUGCCACGAUAUAAUUUAUAUUUUCUCUCCCACCUCACUCCCCUUCUUAUAGCAGCUCAGCAAAAAAACCCCACACAAAUAAAAUGGAACAUCAGUCCCAAAUUUGGAAGUAUUGUUACUGACAUGGAAUAAUGCCUUUUGGUAAAUUGACCUCAAGGGGUGCAUACUCUAAUAUUGUCAUAGAUAAUAUGUUAUCAGCAUAUAAUUAGCAAUGAAUUCACCCAGAAAAACUGUAGGUUGUAAGUUGAUAUUGUCACGCAAGCUGCAAUCCCUGGAGCCAAACCCUCUAAAUAAAUCGCCCGCUCCCCAGUGUGGGAUGCUAAAUAGAAUUGAAAUAGUCAGGUUACCUUAUUUCAAUCCUUUUCUUAUUUCAUCACCAUUAUUAUGCUUUUAAUGCCUUAGCUCAGUGUUUCCCAAAGUUGGAUAACCAACUGUUUUUGGACUACAACUCCCAUCAUCCCUAGCUAGCGAGACCAGUGGUCAGCGAUGAUGGGAAUUGUAGUUCGAAGACAACUGGAGCCCCAACUUUGGGUAACACUGCUAACCGAAUAAAUAGUUAACCAUCUGCCACAAUGAAUGGCCAUUUUUGACAAUUUGGCAGGUAGAGUUUAGUGACCAAGCACCUGGUUCAUGGGAGUUUGGCCCUAGUUUCAUGACAUCAUAUUCCUGUUUUAGAAAAUUCUAAGUAAUAAAAGUGUUUUCAAGAUCUGCCUGUGGUCUUGGAGAGCUAACCAAGACCUACCCAUGUAUACUCAGAUUUAAGUCCUGUUCAGUUCCGUAGGGCCGCCAUGUAAACUUGUACAUUUACUAGGGAAAAAUCUACUUUGAGGUCAGUGGGACUUAUUUCCAAACAAAUAUGCACAGAAUUGCCACCUUGGUCAGCAGUACAGUCUCCUAUGUCAGCAUAACCCUCUUCCCCAUCUUCCUAUCUUCUUUUAAAAAUAUACCCCUUCAUCCUUUUUGUUAACUGAUGAUCACAUUUUCUUCUUCUUUGGUGAUCACUCAUAGCCAAGUAAGAGUGUCUUCCAUGAACACGGUCUUACCAGUGAGUCUGUAAGGGCCUGUGGAGGCCAAUUCUGGAGCCACACGUCCUUCCACAGUGGGGACAAAGGUUUCUGGGUGGGAGUUGAUCAUGGUGAGGGUUGCCAAGCGUGCCUUCCUCUUAGCACGUUUCUCCCUUUUGUCCUGAGUUUGAGCGUCUUCAAAGCCCAUGACACCGUUGAUAAAGGCUGUUCUCCAACUGGAGCUCUCACAGGCCAGUGUUUCCCAGUUGUCGGUAUUUAUGCUAUAUAUUUUAAGAUUUGCCUUGAGAGAGUCUUUAAACCUCUUUUGCUGACCACCAGCAUUGCGCUUUCCAUUUUUAAGUUUGGAAUAGAGUAGUUCCUUUGGAAGAUGAUAAUCAGGCAUCCAAACAACAUGACUAGUCCAACGAAGUUGAUGUCGAAAAUCACCUAUUAUUGUUUGAAUGAAUCAAGGAAAUCCCCUUUACAGUGGUACCUCGGGUUACAUACGCUUCAGGUUACAUACGCUUCAGGUUACAGACUCCGCUAACCCAGAAAUAGUACCUCAGGUUAAGAACUUUGCUUCAGGAUGAGAACAGAAAUCAUGCGGCGGCGGGACGGCAGCAGCGGGAGGCCCCAUUAGCUUCAGGUUAAGAACAGUUUCAGGUUAAGAACGGACCUCUGGAACGAAUUAAAUAUGUAACCAGAGGUAACACUGUAUUUCAAAGAAAGUCUAUCUUCACUGUGUUCUCUGUACAGAAUUCUUUCCUGUAUUGCCAGAGUGACAAGUUCCAUAAUCCAGUAAAAGUUGGCACUCCCUUUAUGGAAACACCUGUUUUGGGAUCUGAGUUUUGCCCCAGGUACCCACACUGCUGCAGGACCUAGAAUCAUAGAGUUGAAAGGGACCCCGAGGAUCAUCUAGUCCAACCCCCUGCAAUAAAGGAAUAUAUACCUGCCCCUUACGGGGACUGAACCUGCAACUUUGGCAUUAUCAGCACCACGCUGUAACCAACUGAGCCUCAAACGUCAGCACCAUAUUGCCUAGUCUCACAACAUUAAAUGUCAGAUUUAAAUUACUUGCACAAUAAUUGAUUAAGUCUAGCCUUAACUUCUUACCCAUAUUUCUCUGUUGCUCACAGCAUGCCAAUUUAAUGUGAUACAAAUGUGCUUCCUGCAGUUACCUUACUGGAGAGAAAGCCAAUUUUUUCCCCUGUCUGUCUUCUGCUGAAAUACUGCUAUGCACAUAAACUGGUUUAGACUCAAUAUUGUUCAGUCCAACGGGGGCAAAUGUGAGCAAAGAAGGACUGUACACACACAGUGGCGAAAUCUCCAAAUGAAUCCGAACUUCAAUGUCUAAAAUCCCUGGUAGAGGACAAGGAUCCUGAGAUCACCUUAAGGGUAGCCAAAUUUGGUGUGAUUGCCAUAAAACUUAGGGAACAAGCUGUGCUAUCAUAAUGAUUAAGACCUUAAAUGAUAAUUUUAGGUUAUAUGUUAGUGACUAAGUUUUAAUUUAUAUAUUUUUUAAUUGUUGCUAUAUCUGUAUUGUCCCUGUUAUACCUAAUUGCAAAUUGAAAUGUAUCCCUAUCGUGUUUUAUGACUUCCUUGAUAUUGUAUGUGGACUGGAACUGGUCUGUGACCGAAAUACCGUAUUUUUUGCUCUAUAAGACUCACUUUUUCCCUCCUAAAAAGUAAGGGGAAAUGUGUGUGUGUGUCUUAUGGAGCGAAUGCAGGCUGCACAGCUAUCCCAGAAGCCAGAACAGCAAGAGGGAUUGCUGCUUUCACUGCGCAGCAAUCCCUCUUGAUGUUCUGGCUUCUGAGAUUCAGAAUAUUUUUUUUCUUGUUUUACUCCUCCAAAAACUAGGUGCAUCUUGUGGUCUGGUGCAUCUUAUAGAGCGAAAAAUACGGUAAUAAAAUUCACACCGUGGCAGAGCUAGCUGCUCUGGCACCCAGAGUGGUGUGCACCUGGGGGCGGGACUAGCAGCCCACGGGGGCGAGGUGAGCAUCCCAGGGGUGCGCUGCCCACAGUGAGAGUCCCAGGGGGUUGGUGCGGUGAUGUCACCCCCCUCAGGGAUGACACCCGGGGCAGACUGCACCCACCACACCCACUUUGCUCCGCCUCUGUACACACAUAUGCCUGAGCUCAAAAGUCAGACUCAGGAGCCUGGCCAGAUUGCCUUGAAGAGUCAAGCCACCUACCGUUGCCUUUCAAGGAGGUGUGAGGAACAUAACCAGCCUCUGUCCAGCUCUUCUUACACCUGAAGAAAUGAUCUGUGGUUAUUGGUUAUUCAGGACAAUCUGACUGGUGCUAAGCAGGUACAGCACGAGACUCCUAAUCUCAGGGUCAAGGGUUUGAGCCCUACGUUGGCUGAAAGAUUCCUGCAUUGCAGAGAGUUGGACUAGAUGAUUCUUGUGGUCCCUUCCUACUCCACAAUUCUAGGAUUCUAUGUGCAGCCUGCAACUCUUACACUGGGAAUUUCGGUCUGGGAAAAUGCAUACGUACAACACAUUCAUCCAUGUGUUUCUCUCUAUUGGAACAGGACAAUCCUAUGUAAGAUAUCAAAAAUCUCUAGCACUGCAGACACACUUCUUAAUAUUUCUGCGUUAGGUCAAUGGGCUGUGUGUGAUUCUUUUUCUUUUAAUGGAGUGAAAAUGCCAGAGCAACAACUUCUUUCUUUGGCACUUCUCUCGAUGUGUUUACAAACUGGUAUUCAUUUUAUUUUUUUUGUCUCAGCACUUCCAGAAUAAACACAAGGGAUUUCUUUGCAGUGGAUGAAUAGCUUCAGGGUCUAGCAUCAUGUGUCUGAAAUAAAUCUAAUGGCCAAUGGAGCAAGGAUUUACAAGCUGAGCUGGGGCAUUGUCAGUUAUCUUUAGCUCGUGCUUAUGAAAUCGUGUAGCUAUAACGCAACGCUACUGCUGCGAUUUUUGUGCAAAAUUUUGUGCAAAAUUUUUGUGCUGUAAGGAUGCAAAGAUGCAUCCGUUACUGAAUAUGAGCGAUAAUGACUUCUUCUUGUUUCAGUGUAUAAGCAGAAGUGAAUGAAGUGUUUGGUGGAGCUCUGUCCUCUACUGAAAUGAAGACACACUCCUCUCUCUCUCUCUCUCUCUCUCUCUCUCUGUGUGUGUGUGUAUAGGAGCCAACUCCUAUGGGCCGCGAGGGCCCCGGCCCCCGCAAUAAAAUAUUUGUGGGGGCUGGGCCCCCACAAAGUUGAUGGGGAUUCCCAUUCAAAUGGUGUGUGUGCACUGGGUCAUGUGAUCAAUUAUGCAGGGUGGGGCUUACCUGCCCCCCACAAUAUUUUGUUCAAGUUGUGUGUGUGUUUGUGUGUGUAUACAUGUCAGGAUGCUGUCAGAGGCUCCUGGCUGGUUGCCCAGGAAAGUAUAAAGACAAGGAAAAGUUUCUUACCGCCCUUUUUUAUUUCAAUCUUUCCAAAGAGAGGCUAUAGAACCCAGCCUCUUGAAUAAUGGAAUUGCCCCGAGUGAAUCUCCACCCCACCGUCUCUCCUACUUCCUCAUUCGUCACUUCUACAGGUGCUGCUACAUGCCCUCUGUCUUUGAGAUCUUUGCUCUCCUACUUUUAAGGCUCACCGGGUUCUGGGAGAUGGAGGGUCUGGGAUGCUUUCUAAUGACAACGUAUCAGCCAGGUGUUGUUCUGGCUCUCCCAUGAUUUCCCAGCUUUCCCCCUCAUCUGCCUCUGAGCUGUGACCUCCCUCAAACCCUUGUUGUAAAUCUAUACUGUCUUCUUCCUCUUCCUCCUCCCCGGAAGGGUCAGGAUGGGGAAGUGGUUUGCCCAUUCCUCCUUUGCCUGGUCCCUGACACCACUUGCUCAUAGUCUUAUGCUUGUUUCUCUUUUCUCUUCCUCUCACAGCUGAAAUGCAGCCUGUAAAUCCCUUGGGUGGGCAGGGACUACUCUUGCUUGUGCUAAUUUGUAAAGUGCAUUGAUGCACACUGAUAAUUACAGUAGCAAGAGUAGUAAUUAUACCUGUCCUGAAUAGACUUGACUGUAGGCUGCUUCAUACGUGAUGUUUUCCUUGCUCUGGGCUGGGGAGGACAAAAACACCUUGUGUGUCACCUCUGUCACAGUCAGGCCUGCACCCAAUUUUGUUUUUGUAGAAUCUCGUUUGUCCUCAGCAACCAAAAUUAUAUUAUCAACAUAUACAAGCAGAAAAGUUGUUUUCCUUCAUUUGCAAGGAAUUGUACAAAACAAAGUGGCACUAAUAAAGAAAAGUUCCAGGGUGGCAACAGAAAGCAAACUAAAAAUGCUUUUGCAGUUCAUCAAAACUAUCCAGCAAUAUCAAGUUAUAGGAAAACUGGUGCUAUUAACAGUAAUCCUUCUAGUUGGUUAAUUGGUUUGGCAACUUCCAUGCACGUGACGUGUGAUGCUAAUUAUUUUCCCCAAAAGUUAAAUGAUAACUAAUCAGAAGCAGCUACAGGAGAGCUAUGAGAUUCAGGUGGGGGUCAGAUGCCUUGUCAAUCCCAGCAGGUAUAUAAGAGGACGACUCGGCCUGCCCAGCAUGGAAGACUUGCGUAUAGUACACAGAUCUGAAAGGGCCACAAAGGGUAAACCACCCAAAAGGUAUGCUGAAGAGUUUGCUAAAACAGUAAAAGCAGAUACAGCUGUUGUUAGUAACUCAGAGAAGGUUUGGGAACCUUCAAGCUUCCAAGAGGUCCAAAGUUUAACCUCAGAGGAUGCUGAGCCAUGGUUAAAUGCCAUGAAGGCUGAACUUGAUUCCUUAGAGAGGAACAAGACAUGGGAACUAGUUCCAGGCCUGCCUAGGCCACAAAACGUUUACAAAGUUCAGUUAUUGCAAAAGUUUUUCAGUGUUAAUUUUAUGCAUUUUUAAAAAUCACCAUGGUAUUUAACAAUAAUAUCUUAUGUCCUUUACAUAAAAAAAGAAGAAGAUCAUGGCCACUGGGCCCAUCACCUCCUGGCAAAUAUAAGGGGAAGAAAUGGAGGCAGUGAGAGAUUUUACUUUCUUGGGCUCCAUGAUCACUGCAGAUGGUGACAGCAGUCACGAAAUUAAAAGACGCCUGCUUCUUGGGAGAAAGGCGAUGGCAAACCUAGACAGCAUCUUAAAAAGUAGAGACAUCACCUUGCCAACAAAGGUCCGUAUAGUUAAAGCUAUAGUUAUAGUUAAAGAAUUGACACUUUUGAAUUAUGGUGCUGGAGGAGACUCUUGAGAGUCCCAUGGACUGCAAGAAGAUCAAACCUAUCCAUGCUGAAGGAAAUCAGCCCUGAGUGCUCACUGGAAGGACAGAUCCUGAAGCUGAGGCUCCAAUACUUUGGCCACCCCAUGAGAAGAGAAGACUCCCUGGAAAAGACCCUGAUGUAGGGAAAGAUGGAGGGCACAAGGAGAAGGGGACAACAGAGGACGAGAUAGUUGGACAGUGUUCUCGAAGCUACCAGCAUGAGUUUGACUGAACUGCGGGAGGCAGUGGAAGACAGGAGUGCCUGGCGUGCUCUGGUCCAUGGGGUCACGAAGAGUCUGACACGACUAAAUGACUAAACAACAACAAAUCUUAUGUCCUUUAGAGGAGAAAAUGUGAAUUGUAGAAUUUUAAAUACCCGUCAUCAUCCUUGGCUUCACUCAAUUUUGUUUAUAACCCUCUUCCAUUUUCUUCUAGUUGUGAGAGUGGGGGGUGGGGAGGGGCCUCUCUUCAUCCAAAUCCAACCCUGGGUUAGGCCUCCUGUCACAUAUCUGCAGCCUUUGUGACUUCAUCCUUCGUGGCUCCUUUUUGUGCUUAAAAACUCUGCAGGAGAUCCCAUCGCAGACCUCCUACUUUCCUGCUGAGUCACAUCCCAAAUCUAUGCUCACAAACGAGCAUAUGCACGAAUCCUUCUUAACCACUCCCCUUUACGAAGACGUGCCGUUCCCCAAAAAAUCUCCUCCUAGUUUUGUUGCACAUAAAUAAAUGAACAAAUACAUAAACAGGAUGCAGCUCUAGACUUUCCAAAGCCCAAACCAGCCUCUGCUUUGUGCAGCCGACUGAAGAAAGCCCUCCGUAUUGCGGGCAUGGUUAAUGACAGUGGAAAGUAAGCAUCAAUUUUGUUGAGCAGCAUUAGAAUACAGGACCUCCUGCCGCGCUCACCAGUAACUUGCUUUGCACAGCUGCUUUCUCAGCUGGGAGUUCUAAAUCAGCGCUGCGAGAACAGACAGAAAUGACCAUUAUGCAUUUGCUCACGAUGGCAAUUUGCCUUGCAGUUAUGGAAAGGUACUGUUCAAUUAAUACUCUAACCUUCUGCUUUCCUACAAGCGCCUUCCUUUCCCCUUUCUCAAAACAAAUUCAGUCUGCUGAGCUCAUGGCUUUAUAACGCUGCUGCUGGAUUGGACUUAAUUCGUUCCAGAGGUCUGUUCUUAACCUGAAACUGUUCUUAACCUGAAGCACCACUUUAGCUAAUGGGGCCUCCUGCUGCCGCCGUGCCGUCAGAGCACGAUUUCUGUUCUCACCCUGAAGCAAAGUUCUUAACCCGAGGUACUAUUUCUGGGUUAGCAGAGUCUGUAACCUGAAGCGUAUGUAACCUGAGGUACCACUGUAUAUUAUUUUCAGUGAAGACAGGAGUGCCUGGUGUGCUCUGGUCCAUGGGGUCAUGAAGAGUCGGACAUGACUAAACAACUAAACAACAACAACAACAACAACAUUAUUUUCAGUGUGUCUACUCUGAGUAGGAGUGGCACUGAAUGCAACCUAGUGGGUGAGAUUCAGCUAAAGUUGCCUGCAGCUGCUAACCAUAUGGUUAAAUGGCUAUUAUACGGUUUGUGACAUUUUGAAUUCUCCCCGGUGUGCACACAUCUUUGUUUCACAGCCCUCUAUCUUUGGAUUAUAGCAGAGCUUAUAUGCAAUAUUUCCUCCUCGGACUUUAUGUUGGCAUACAUAGGGGAACUGGUACCAAGUGGUCUAUAGUCACUUCAAACCAAGUUGGGGUCGCAGUCUUAGACGCAUGUAUCUUCAUAACUCCCCUUGAGCUCAGUGAGGUUUGCUUAGUAAACAUGCACAAGACUGCACUGUGUGUUACAAGGUUUCAUAUUUCCCUUCCAUAGGCAUAUGGCGAUUGCCAUGCUGGGCCAGACAUAUUGUCUAGCUUAUCAGCUUGCUUCCAACAGUGAUGAGCAUUGGAUAGCUCUGGCUUCAAAGAAGAUGAAAGAAAUUAAGCGGUAGGUGGGACAAUCCACUCCAGCUGAAGGUUUCAUUCUAAUCCUUUGGAUGUAAGUGUAUUGAUUCAAAGAGUGAAGUGGUUGUUUGGUAUAAUUUCUCCCAAAUCUUUCAAAAUGGUUUCCAAUACCGGGUUGUUGUUUUUUUGGGGGGGGUCUACUUUAGCCCUUUGAGUAUCAGUUCAAUCUCUUUCAAUCCUCCCAAAAUGGUAGCCUUGUUGACAAUUAAUGUGAGGCAAUAACAAUACUCUCUACAAUUUUGAGGGUAUGCCAGCACCGGCCUGCAACCUUUUUUCCUCCAACACUAAAACUAAGCUCUGGUCUUCGUUUUCUAACUUUGAAUUGAGGGAAGGCCUCACCCAUUUGAUUUUUGGUCCAGAGCUUUUGCUUUCUUAACAGCCCAGUACCUUCCCAUUGUUCUCUUACUGGCUCAUCACCUUUCCUUUGUUUUCUUAAUGGCUCAUCUCCCAGGUGAUCUCCUGAACAUGGGAAGCUGGAUCCAGGGUUUAGGAGUCCCCCCAAACCUUGAUUAAAUUCUGAAACCUACUUAACCCAGGAAUUUAGUGGAGUCUGGCACCUACAAACUCCCUGGCCGGGGAGGGCGGGGUACAAAUUAAAAUUUAUUUAUUAUUAUUAAUAAUACCAAUGACACCAGCCCACAGCGACCCCAAAAAUCUGUUCCCUUGUGGCUAGAACUUUCCUUUUUAGGAGAACAGUGAGGAAAGGGCUUUGAUUUGUUCUAGAGAAAGGGGACGCCGCAAAACCAGGUGUUCCCGACCACAUUCCUGAUGGGAAAUGACUGCUCGUGAAUGAGUGCAGAGAAUACAGGACCUGUUUAAAAUGAGAGCAGGGUUUCCACUUCUGUUUUGUUGCCAGUAUAGAAGGGGAAAAACCCCCACAAAAUUUCAAGGCUGUGCUAAUGUUCUUUCUUAAGCCACAUCCCUGAAAAAUUAUUAAGGGCAACAAGCUAUAUUUUUGACAAAGUGUCCAAGGUAACUAUUAGAGAGCUUCUGAUACACAUGUACCAUAUUUCUCGCCUGUCUAGCACACACUAAUUUACCCACCUGUUCUAGCCUCUAUCGGCUGCACAAAUUAGAUUGUCUCAGGGGAGGUUGUGCAGCCGAUUGGUUCAGCCUUGCUACCAAGGCAACCAUUUUCUCUCCGCUAUAUGAUUUAGACACUGCUUUACAACUCAGGUUUGGCUGGCAAACAAAGAAGCAGAGUGGGGAAAGACAUUGGUUCUAUGUUUGAACACAGAGGCGGUCUGUAUUUAAUGAAUAUUCACAGUGGAAUUUUAUUCGGUAAAAGUGGAGAAACUGCAUUUCCUAAACGUGAGGGAGAGAAACCCCCCCCAUCAAUUCUUUACAAUAUAGCAGCUAUAUAGCUAAGCUAAUGAAAGAUGAAUGAAACAUUAAGACUACCCCCCCAUCCAAAAAAGUGAAGGAAUCUUAAAGGGAAACAAAUUAGUAUAUUCAUUGCUUCACAUUUUUUGUGCAAUGAGGAUUAGAUGCACAGUUGUCUUGAUCAAAGUCAUUUGUGUAGAAAAGAAACCUUCAUUUGAGAAAAACCCACAUGUUGCAAGCAAAUAUGCCUUUGUCGCAUUUAUCCUGUCUUUUCAGGAUGUGGGGACAGGAAUAGUGUGUUCCACUCUGAAAAUUAGAUUCCUGAAUCCAAAUAUUUAGUGGUGUAUUUAAGAUUUAUAUGUCAGUGUUUCAGAACUCUGGAGGCUUCCAGUUCUUGGCUUUAGGCUCCUCUCCUCUUUCUAAUUUUGCCUUCGCCUCUCUGGCCAUCUCCUGUACUCCAGAUUUCUCUGGAUAAGUCCGCUCUGAUUUCCAACCCCCCUUCUUGAACACUCUCUGAUUCCUUGGUCUUGCUGCCUAUUACUUUCAAUGGCUCUCCUGCCCUAACUCAUAGCUGUCAACCUUCCCUUUUUUUGCGGGAAAUUCCCUUAUUCCAGUGCCGUUUCCCACUGCUUCCCGCUGCUAUCCUGGAUUGUUAGAUAUCCUGUAGACUGUCCCCAGGACAGGUGAGGCUGCUGAUCCCUUAUUUUCAAAUCUGAAAGUUGGCAGCUAUGCCCUAACUGCUCUCUCUUAACAUCUGAGCAGAUUAUCCAAUGGCAACUGGAGACCACUGCUGGCCUCUCUCUGUGUGUCAUUAGAGUCACUUGCAGUCCUGUUUACAUUUAAUUAUUAGGAUUUUUUUUUUUACUUGUAGCUAGGAUAAUCCAUUCAGUUCAAGGAAGGGUAUUUAGCAGUGGCCCUAAAGCCACCUUCUUCAAAAAGGAAAGCACCAUUAUCAUUUGUAAUUCCCACUAAUACCCAUGGAACUUUGCAUGCUGAACUGGUCUCUGCUGGUUGGCCUGGUGGCACUGACAAGCUUUGCAUUGCAAUUUAUUUUGCAUCUUUACUCAUGUCUCCAGUUACUUUUAGGUUAAUGUAGAAUUUAUAUGUAGUGCGGUGAAAAGCAAUUUGUUUCCCCCCAAUUUUACGGUACUUGAGCUUUGUACAUAUAUAGUUAGCAAACAUAAUAUCCAUUACUGUAGACUGCUUGUCUGCUUCUUCCUACAGCUAGUCCCUAUGGGUCUAUUUACUGAACAUGCCCAGCCCCAUAAAUAGAACAAUCUCUCUUGAUAUAUCAUCUGGCAAAAAGAGAAAACUGGGAUGAGUAGUUAUGAGCCUCUUCAAUUGCCAUUAUGGGGAACUAUGAGGUAGGAAGAGAGGAAUCUAGAAACAAUGCAACGGGGAACUUGGCAUACACUUUAUGCGAUGCCUUCACUAAGAGGGGAAGCGGGGGCAAUAUAUAUCUAGUUUAUAUAUUGCAGAAGAACCAAGUGUUCAAAGAUUUUCCUGGAUCGAACUACUUUGGUCUGUAGAUCGGCAGUUGUGUAUUCAAAUGCUAUAUCAUGGAAAGCUUCUCUAUAUGCAGAAUAUGAACAGGUUGUAUUAAAUGGCUUGGAUUAACCUUCUCUUUGUCACAUGAUUUUUCUAGCUGCAAGGAAUUGUAUAUUUUUAUAGAGGAACAUUCAACGUCAAACCCAUACCUGUAGCCUGAGGUGCAAUAGCUCAGGAGAAGCUUUAAGACUUAAUGCCAAUGGAAUUAAAAACAGAGGGUCAUAUAUUAGGGCUUUUUAACGGAUUAACACAUAUCUCUAGCUGUUGAUUCUUUGAGGAUGGACCAGGAGGCAUUGGUCAUUUCAGAUUCAUGUAGGUGGCACCAGAGAGAGGUGAAGAGGAACAAGUGACAAGUAGCUCACUCUGUUUCAGGGGUGGGGAACCUGAAGAGCCAGUGUGGUGUAGUGGUUAAGAGCAGUAGACUCGUAAUCUGGUAAACUGGGUUCGCAUCUCCGCUCCUCCACAUGCAGCUGCUGGGUGACCUUGGGCUAGUCACAUUUCUCUGAAGUCUCUCAGCCCCACUCACCUCACAGAGUGUUUGUUGUGGGGGAGGAAGGGAAAGGAGAAUGUUAGCUGCUUUGAGACUCCUUCGGGUAGUGAUAAAGCGGGAUAUCAAAUCCAAACUCCAUCUUUCCUGAUCAUUGGCCAUGUUGUGUGGGGCUGACUGGAGCUAGAGUCCAAGAAACACCCCUGCUCAGUCUAUGCUCUCCAUUUCUGAGUUGCUGUGAUCACUUGAAGAAACAGGGCCAAUCCUACCAUUAGACAGAAUGAAGAAGUAGAGAAGCUGUCCCCAGUGCUGAAGUAAGAACCAAAGACCGUAUUUUUCGCUCUAUAAGACGCGCCAGACCACAAGACGCACCUAGUUUUUGGAGGAGGAAAACCAAAAUACCAAAAAAUUCUGAAUCUCAGAAGCCAGAACAGCAAGCGGGAUCGCUGCACAGUGAAAGCAGCAAUCCCUCUUGCUGUUCUGGCUUCUGGGAUAGCUGCGCAGCCUGCAUUCGCUCCAUAAGACGCACACACAUUUCCCCUUACUUUUUAGGAGGGGAAAAGUGAGUCUUAUAGAGCAAAAAAAUAUGGUAAAUCAGGGAGAGAUGCCAACUUGUCCUUUUGCCUCAGGGAGCAAUAUGUGAAGGGAAUGCACUUUUCUUCCAAAAAAUAACUGAAUUAUAAAAAGGGAAUUUGAAGAAGGCUGCAAUCCUAAGCAUACCAAUUGAUAACUAGCUGAGAUUACUGCAUUGCAGGGGGUUGGACUAGAUGACUCAAUGAGGCCCUUCAAACCCAACAAUUCUAUGGUGCCCAAUGAUAAGAUCAUUCUGUAAUAAAAAGAAAUUGUUACUUGGGGGAAUUGAAUUGAAUUCUAAAUUAUAUUCCGGAAAUGUGGGAGAUUACAAGCGGUAAAAAAAUAUAUGGAUGUACCGUGCUAUAUUAGAAAGAAAAAAACUUGUUUUGAUGAAUUGGAAGAGCCGCGAAAAGAUUCCAUUGAGCACAUGGAUUGAUAAUAUGGACAGAUUAGCUACAUACGAACGAAUUGCAUGUCGACACAAAUUAAGAAUGGAUAAAUAUGAAGAAAUCUGGAAGGAACAUUUAAGUGAUAAGGCGGAUAGUGGUGGGAAGUAGGGGGAGGAGAGAGAGGUGGGAAAAUAUUGUUAAAAAGGUGUAGUCAUAGGUAUAUCAGUGUAUUCAAAUCUGAAUUGUCAAAUUGUGUUAUCAGUGUCAUUAUGGUUUUUGUUGUAUGUGUCUUUUUACGGUUGUUGUUUGUAUUGAAAAAAUGAUUAAAUAUUUUUUUAAAAAAAACCAAUUCUAUGAUUCACAUCAGAGAAAAUGUGUUUAGGAAAAGAGUGUAAUAAACUCCAUCUCCACCUCCCCACCAAUCUAAUAUGUGAGGCCAAGCUUCAACCUCCCCAAAAGACUUCCCCCCAUGUCUGUCUCUCUGUUUGUCAAUCUUGCACAUUUAGUACAGACCAGGGGGGGGGGAUAUGAAAUAGAAGUGUGAGUAAGCUUCUUACUGCUACAUCUUGCAGAACUCGCAAGACUAUUUCGAAUGUUGACCUCUUGCUGCAAAAGUCUAAGUGUGUAUGUGCACAUUAUAAAUUAUCUUAUCUUAUGGACUCUUACUGUUUUUGCAUUUUGCACUUAAACUUUAUUUUUCAGCUGCUUUCCGUGGUAAAGCCAAAAACAAUGAAAUACUGAUUCAUGCGUCAAAUCACAUGGUCAGCAAAGUAGUGUGUGAUGCAGGUGGAACUCGUAGGCUGCAUUAUUAAUAUCUCUGGACUAAUGUACUCAAGGGAGCCAUAUAUAAAGUUGUGCUUAUACAUCAUGUUGCAGCACAGGCUAAUACUUUUUUCAACUCCAGCCUGAAAUGCCUUCAGAAUGCCGGCAUAUUUGUCUUACCUUCCUUCAGGUGUCUCCAUACACAUAUCUGUUCAUCAAGUUAUCUACUACUGUGGAGAGGGCUUCCUUAUCAGCUUAGGGGGGAGCUGUCUAUGGUACCAAGUUAGUCUCUGUUUAUAAAAAGGUAAAGGACCCCUGACAGUUAAGUCCAGUCACAAACGACUCUGGGGUUGCGGUGCUCAUCUCGCUUUACUGGCUGAGGGAGCCGGCAUUUGUCCAUGGACAGUUUUUCCGGGUCAUGUGGCCAGCAUGACUAAGCCCCUUCUGGAGAAACCAGAACAGCGCACAGAAAUGCCAUUUACCUUCCCACUGGAGCGGUACCUAUUUAUCUACUUGCAGUUUGACAUGCUUUCAGACUGCUAGGUUGGCAAGAGCUGGAACCGAGCAACAGGAGCUCACCCCAUCCUGGGGAUUUGAACCGCCGACCUUCUGAUCGGCAAGCCCUAGGCUCAGUGGCUUAGACCACAGCGCCACCUGCAUCUGUUUAUACAUCACAAUAAAUAUGCAGCUAUUACUCACCCAUUGUCAUCAGACAAUUUCCUUAAGGUAGUGUUAUGAGCACAUUGCUUUUCUUUCCCCCAGCACUCAGCAUCAAAUAUAUUUUUUCCUGGGAAAAUGAUUUAUGCAUGCCCACAUGCACAUAUGCAUCCCAGCCUUGUUGUUACUGCAAGGUGGAAUAUGUUUGCACAAGUAUUAUAUUGGAUAGCGCCCAUAACAGCUAUGCAACACAACUCCAAACACCUGUGGAACUUUGAGGUACCACUAGGGUUGCCAUACAUCCAGAUUUUCCUGGACAAGUCCUGGAUUCCAAUGACGGAAUUAGUAUCUGGGGAGAAUCAUUGAAAGCUCAACAACUUUCUCCAAAAAAGCUCAACAACUCAUGCCCAUGUAGCCUUAAGAAAAACAGAAACCCAUAAUGAACACCUCCAUUUAUUGAAUGGGAAUGGUAUAUUGCACUGAUGAACCUAGUAUAAACGUAGCAGUCAAAACUGUACAGCAGGGAAUCAGUUUGUGAUCUGUUGAGGCCCAUUCAUAUGAUUGUCAGCUCAUAGUUAAGAUUUUACCUUUGCUUUCACUAACUGCAUUGCUUAGCCGAGUAAAAUAGCAAUAUACUUUGGAAACACUUGAAUUCUUAUAUAUCCACAAAGUACCCACUAUGAGAGAUAGUGUGGACAGAGUGCUGGGAUUAGACCCAGAAGAUCUGAAUUCAAAUCUUCCUUCAGCUAUGAAAAUUACUAGGUGACCUGAGAUCAGGCAUCAUCUCUCAUAUUCCUCACAUUGCAGGUGUAUAAUUGAUGAAGGGCACUUGCCUGAAAGCUUAUGUAAAUAUGUGUGCAUGGGAGAUCUGAGAAAUCAUAGCCCUUGUGUGCAGGCUUCCUGUGCAUUUUCAGUCAGAAGUCACACAUGACAAUGCACACUAUGAGAAUAAUUGGUGGGAAAAAUUUGGAACCAUAUCUUUCCUGUAAUGUCAUAAUGAGCUUUAGUUUUGCUUCAGAAUGAUGUUUCCUCCUCUAUCAGAGACAAUAUGUUUCUGAAUGUCGGCUAAGAGGACUCAGAAGUGGGGAGUGUGUUGUUGCACUCAGGUCAUGCUUUGGAGACGCGGGUGGCGCUGUGGUCUAAACCACUGAGCCUCUUGGACUUACUGAUCGGAAGGUCGGCAGUUCAAAUCCCCACAACGGGGUGAGCUCCCGUUGAUCGGUCCCUGCUCCUGCCAACCUAGCAGGUCGAAAGCACGCCAGCGCAAGCAGAUAAAUAGGUACCGCUGUGGCAGGAAGGUAAAUGGUGUUUCUGUACGCUCUGGUUUCCAUCACAGUGUUCCGUUGCACCAGAAGCGGCCGCAUGUUGGCCACAUGAUCCGAAAAGCUGUCUGUGGAUAAACGCCGGCUCCCUCUGUGUGAAAGCGAGAUGAGCACCACACCAUAGCUGUCAACCUUCCCUUUUUUGGGUGGGAAAUUCCCUUAUUCCAGCGUCAUUUCCCGCUGCUUCCUGCUGCUAUCCCGGAUUGUUAGAUAUCCCGUAGACUGUCCCCAGGACAGGUGAGGCUGCUGAUCCCUUAUUUUAGAGGCUGCUGAUCCCUUAUUUUCAAAUCUGAAAGUUGACAGCUAUGCACCACACCCCAUAGUUGCCUUUGACUGGACUUAGCCGUCCAAAUUCCUUUACCUUUACCUUUUACCUAAUAUUUCAGUUUGAAGGUGUAAACGUAUGUGAUGUUUAAAUGCUUCCUUAAGGGAAAAACCAAUAAUACAAAACUCAUUUCUGUAUUGUAAGCGAGAUAAGUGCCACAACCCCAUAGUCUCCUUUGACUGGAUUUAACCAUCCAGGGGUCCUUUACCUUUUUUACCUUUACCAUGCUAUGAAGUUUCCCAUAGGCAUCUGGUUGGACAAGAUGUUGGACUCGAGGAGCCUUUGGCUUGAUCCAGGAGGCUUUUAAUGACCUUGUGUUCUUAAGACUUGAAUUCAAGAGGAUUUCUUUCUAUAGGGCAGAAGCUCAGAGCAAACACAGCAGUAAGCCUGAUAGGAGCCCAGCAACCCUGGUUAUGUUAUCUUUGAGAAGCUGUUAUGAAUGAAUGUAUUUGUGCAGUUGUUCUGGUGUUUAGCACCCAUCUCAUUCUCUGUGUAAAUGGCAGUUUGCAGGACAUGAAUAUAAAACAGUAUAAAACAUGAUACAGUUAAUCAUGUUCAUGCCCACUAUGGUUUCAUUUUUUUAAAACAAAGAAACAAGGGUUCUUGCCUGUUCAAUACCUUGCGAUAGCAUUUUGGUCUGUGUGGAAAUCUGCUCUCUUAAGUUCUUCAGAAGCAAUAUGUAUGCUAACCUGUCAACCACACUUUUGUUCAUUGAACACAGUUGCUAGGGAAACCAGCUCCUUUAUAUGUGCUCAAGGUAGCCAUCUUUUCCUACUCUGUCUCAGGGAAUUGUAGCCAGAUUCGCAGCCCCGAAUUCAAGACCAUAUACUGCAGCUUGCUUAACCCUUAAGUUGGCCAGAAAUAUGCUGCAAGACCUGGCCUGUCAAACUUAAGUGGUGCCCGCAGCUAGGGUAUCUCUCUCGGCACAACCAUUUUUAGCUCAACUGCUAGCAGCAGAGCUGAGAUCUAUGCUCUCUGUGCACAAAGAUACAUUGCAUCUCUGUCUCUAUCAGUAGAGGCUAGGCCACCCUCUGUCAGGGGAGAUGAAUAUGCUUUGCUCCUCCCGCAACACUGUCCCCCGAUGCAAUGUUUUUAUUCAUAAGAGCAAAGGGCAACCAAUCUGCUAAAUGGGAUGCACUCAGGUGGAGGGAUAUGUCAAUUGCAGUUUCUCUUGGUUUCCCAUUUUUCCAGUCUCAACAUCAAUUCCCCACAUCAGUUUGUGCAAUUUUUUUAAGCUUUCAUGAAAAUUCUUCAGCAUUUAUCGUGGAUUUUCUUCUCUCUCUCUUUUUAAUUUUUUUUUAUUCAAAAUUAAAACAAGACAUAUUAUCCAAAAACAUAUCAUCCUUGUCCCCCCCCAUUUUUCCUCCCUCCCCCUCCCACACAAAACCCACCCGCCCCCACCCCCCGACUUUCCUCAGUUCCAGUCUUUGGUUUCUUUGAGACUGCUGUUUUCUGCAUGUUUCAAAGUUGUAUAGAUCCUCAAACUAUUUAGCUGAUUAUUAUCAAUAAAAAGUUUGUGGAUGUUUAUUCAAAACCUGCCAAGGAGUCCAGUUCACUUUGUUGCGUCUUCAAAUACUUUGUGAAAGGUUCCCAUUCAUCCUUAAAGUCACAGUUAUCCUUGUCCCGUAGCUUAUAUGUCAGUUUUGCCAGUUCUGCAUAGUCCAUCAAUUUUUCUUGCCAUGAUUCUUUAGUUGGGGUUUCUUCAGUCUUCCAUCCGUGUGCUACCAGAACUCUCGCGGCCGUUGUCGCAUACAUGAAGAUUUUUUUCAGCUUUUUUGGCAGGUCUUUCCCUACAAUCCCCAACAAAAAUGCCUCGGGUUUUUUUUAACAAAUGUUAAAUGGAACAUUUUCUUCAAUUCAUUGUAUAUCAUUUCCCAACAUUUUAAAAUUACAUUACAAUCCCACCACAUAUGAUAAAAUGUCCCUUCCUUUUCCUUACACUUUCAACAUAUAUUUGAACUAGUUUUGUACAUUUUCCCUAACUGCCUGGUGUUGUGUACCAUCUAUACAUCAUCUUCAUGUAAUUCUCUGUGGAUUUUCUUCUCAAUGCACACAUUUUUGCAAAGCAGUUUUCCCCGACAUAAUGCAUUUUUGUAUUUUUUAAAAAUACUCAUAUAUGCAUUUCUAUGCACACUUAUCUUAGUAUGUGCAUUUUAAAACCCACCACAUGGUUAGAACACAGCAUUACCACAUCAGUAGACGGGUGAAUUUUGAAGGAGAACUGUAUUUUGGUUCAUGUAUGAAUUAAGUAAGUGGACAUUUAAAUGUAUACUAAGUUGAAUUCCUCCACUGUGAAGGACAUAACUUUUCUCCCAUUUGACUGUGUUCUAGCUUGCAGACCAUUAAGUCUUUCUCACAGAAGUCAAUAGGAAUCUUUCAAAACCAAGCUAGACCAUUGCCAUUGAGUUCUGUUUUUCGGUCACACUAGAGCAGAGAUGGGAGCCUUCCUUUUUAUGUCAGGUUCCACAUACCUUUGGGAUUAAUCUGUCAGGACCACACAUCUAGGGCAGAUGUGUCCUGUUUUCCGCUGCCACCACUGUUGCCACCCCUUGCACUGCCCGGCCUGCCGCCAGUGAGAUCUCACCCAAAAUCAAAUUAAAUCUUGUGUACUCCAAUGCUGCUGCUGCCUCAGGGGCUUCUGCUGCCUGAAGCAAUGGUCUCACCGCACCUAAUGGUUGAGCUGCAUCAAUGGUUGAGCCGGAUCAGGGACGCGGGUGGCGCUGUGUGUUAAACUACAGAGCCUAGGACUUGCUGAUCAGAAGGUCAGCGGUUCGAAUCCCCACGACGGGGUGAGCUACCAUUGCUCGGUCCCUGCUCCUGCCAACCUAGCAGUUUGAAAGCACGCCAGUGCAAGUAGAUAAAUAGGUACCACUGCGGCGGGAAGGUAAACAGUGUUUCCGUGUGCUGCUCUGGUUUGCCAGAAGCGGCUUAGUCAUGCUGGUCACAUGACCUGGAAGCCGUACGCCGGCUCCCUUGGCCAGUAAAGCGAGAUGAGCGCCGCAACCCCAGAGUCGGUCACGACUGGUCAGGGUUCCCUUUACUUUUACCUUUAAAGUCAGCAGUGUGAUGGGGCGGAGGCCAAAAGCCUGUUAUAGGUGGAGCCAAAACAAAAAAUGAGUGGCACCAUUCAUUUCCUUCUGUCUUCCCCUUUUCUCUCUCCCUCUCUCUGCUUCUCUCUCUUGCUGCUUGAUUUCUGUAUUGAUCGGGGAGGGAAAGGCUCAACUUUUUCCUCUUUUCAGCAAGACACACAGCAGUCACCCGCUCUGUUCCUCCUCCAGUAACUUGCUUGGCUACAGCAGGACAGGUUUGAGAGAUGCGGGGCAAGGAAGUGAGGCAGGAAUGUGCAGUGGACCAGAUAUGGUCUGGGGGUUGGUAGCCUUCCUCACCCCUCAGAGUUUGACGGGACCAAGGAAAUUCCCAAUUUGUUAUUUGAUCUUGGCUGCCAUGUUCUCCUCCUUCAAGCAGUGAAUUUGAGCAGGAUCCCUUUAGGUAAGCCAGCUCCACACCCAAAGGAAACACAAUGCGUUUAUUAUCUGCAUAGCAGUGAGGUGAUUGGCAGGCGUGCUUUGUUGUCUCAGCAAAGCAUCCUUACAAAAGCAACUGUGCCUGCUGAACUUCUUCCUUGCCACACAAGCUGUUAAAAACCUAGGAGAUGGCUUCCCUCAGCAGGUCAGGGUUUUUGCUGUUGCUGGGGUGGCGGCAGCGACAAGGUGGCAUGUAUGACAUCGUAUCAAAUAUAAGUGGAGAGAGCGAGAGCCAAAUCCGUUGUCUGAGCACAAGGACAGAGAUGUGCAGGCACAUCCUGAAAAAUCAUCUUUCUCCUUCACAGCUAGGAGUUAAUGAGGGAAUUGUCUGGAUUUCUAAUGAAAGCGAUCGCACUGAGCAGGGGAACAGCACUGUGGAUGUAUUUAUUUAUUUUUGGUCACCAACCAUAUGCUUGGGGACAAGAGCAGCAAAGAAAAGGCUGCUGAACAAGAGUGUUGAUUUUUCAUGUCACAAGGAUGCGUGCUCUUCAAUUUAAUCCAAUACAGUCACUUCUGGCUAAUCUUGAGGUCCCAGAGCCAUCUGUUAUGUUGCACCAGAUUCCAUCUCCUGAGAGGAGGGGGUUGGGCGUCCCUGGAGAUGCUUCAUCUCCCAUGAACUCGCAUGUCAAGCCAGAAUGACAUCAUAUUUUUUGCAGAAGCUUGUUUUGGGGGUGGGGAAGCAUCUGUCCCACCCUUUGCGUUGCCUUCUCUGUAUUGCUCUGGGAUUUGAUCAGCCCAAGGCAAGCAGCUCCUCUCCCCUCUUACUGAGGAACUACAAUCCCAAUCCUUUCCAAUAGCAGUCAUGCGACAACACAGAGAAGCAUAUUGAUUGACAUUAAGGAGUCAUUUUAUUUCUUAUUAACUGUUUCCCUUUCUGGGUGGAGAUGCCCAAAGUGGGAGACAAAGCAUAUAAAGAAGAACACAGCAAACGCACACACACACAGUGACAACAAUCAGCCAUGGUUAAAAUUUCACUCAGAACAUUGAAAACUCAGCACAAAAAAUAGCAUACUAACACCGUCAAAAUAAUGCAGAGAGGCCAAACUAAAACACCUCCCUAUGCAGACCAAAAUAGGUAAAGGUAAACGACCCCUGGAUGAUUAAGUCCAGCCAAAGGAGACUAUGGGAUUGGGGCGCUCAUCUCGCUUUCAGGCUGAGGGAGCCAGCGUUUGUCCACAGAAAGUUUUCCGGGUCAUGUGGCCAACGUGUCUAAAUCGCUUCUGGCACAACGGAACACUUGACGGAAACCAGAGUGCACGGAAACUCUGUUUACCUUCCAGCCUCAGCGAUACCUCUUUAUCUACUUGCACUGGCUCCUGCUAGGUUGGCAGGAGCUGGGACAGAGCAACGGGAGCUCACCCCAUCAUGGGGAUUCAAACCACCGACCUUCUGAUCAGCAAGCCCAAGAGGCUCAGUGGUUUAGACCACAGCGCCACCCGCAUCCCCCAACAGUAACAACCAUAGGAGGUAGGUUAGGCUGGGAGGAAGUGACUGGUCAAGCUGAGCUUCGUAUCUGAGUGGGGAUUUGAAUCUUGGCCUCCCAAGUCUUAAUCUGACAUUCUAACCACUACACCUCACUGGGUGUCAGGUUGAGGCCAUAGUGUGUGGGUAGCCUUGGAGUCCAGUACAGCCAUAUCUGGUGCCGCCUGGGAAAUUAUUAUAAGAAAGGAAGAACAGACAGCAGAAUAUUACCACGAAAUAUGUAUUGUACAACCUUAAGACUCUAGUUUAGACCACAACACCAUCCGCAUCCCCUACACCAAAAUAAUCCAUAAGCAGCAGGAGAAUCGAAAGCUUGUUGGAAGGGAAAUGCUGAAAAUAAAAUUGUAACACAGAGGGCAGUGAGGCACAUAGAAGCUCAUCAGAUGAUCUCAGCAUGUGGGCAAAUUUAUGUGGGCAGAGGUGGUCCUGAUCUUGCACUUUUUAGAGCUUGAAAGAAGAUAAGCUGCACUCUGAAUUGGGCUCAGAAACAAACAGGAGGCGCUUCUUCUAAACCUGAAGCAGCUAAAUGGGCUGUGUCAGAUGUGUUCAUGGCCAGCUACCCUAAUGAUACUGUUCAUCCUGCCCGACUUGUUACCUAAGCUUGAAUUCAGCCCAGCAGCUAUGUAUGGUGGUCCAGCAGGGGCUUGACAGAUGUCCUACAAGGACUGUAGAGAGUGGGGAGGAAGGUUGUCGCACGCCCGACAGCUCGCAGUAGAAAGCUGAUAGGUUUCAUUUGCUUUAGCUGGCUGUGAGUUAUCCAGCCCUGAUUCCAGGCGUUCCUGCGCAUUUGAGGCAGCUUGUAUUCACAAUAGAUGCAGAGUAUGCUCCCCCCUGAAAUUCUUGCAGUUGGUUUCCCCUUCGCGAACAUGAAAACCUUGCCUUAUUUGGCACUCUCACCUGAUUCUGACACAGAGGUGGCUGAGCAAUCUCUAUAGCCAGAUGGUCACUGUUUGCUUACAUUACCAGGCUCUCUUUCUCCCUUCCCUCCGGCUGGGAGAUAUUCAGUCACUGAUCCUUCUUCAGAUUUGCCACUCUCAAAAUUUGCAAGCAUUAUCUCAGCCUUACUAACAUUGGCUACACACCCUUUCAUGUCCCCCCACCCUUCAUGUUGAGUUUUCCCACCAUCACACUUUCUACAAUCUGUAAUGCAAGUGUACUACACAGUGUACUAUCUUGAGGUAAAUGUGCAGAAGGGUACAUUUGUGUAUAUCUCUCUGUGUGGGGGAGCAUUUCCCAGAUUAAAAAGGAUUAAAGCCCAAAGGCAUAGCAGGUGGCUGCACUUAUCAAUUUCUGAAAAAGAGAAACCACAUUCACAGGUGUAUUUUAAGAGUAACCAAUUAUCUAUACAGUGGUACCUCGGGUUACAUACGCUUCAGGUUACAGACUCCGCUAACCCAGAAAUAUUACUUUGGGUUAAGAACUUUGCUUCAGGAUGAGAACAGAAAUCAUGCUCUGGCAGCUCAGUGGCAGCAGGAGGCCCUAUUAGCUAAAGUGGUGCUUCAGGUUAAGAACAGUUUCAGGUUAAGAACGGACCUCCAGAACGAAUUAAGUACUUAACCCGAGGUACAACUGUAUAUGUAUCUAUCUAUAUCUGUGCCAUUCUGAAGACUGCAUACGCAUAUGGCCCCCUUGUUGUAGGCUCAUUUCAAGGGGUUUGGGGGAUGGAGCAGCCUUUGGGAUUUACUGUAUUGUGUCUAUAAUUAGAUGCUCCAGAUUUCUUUCUCUGCUUUGUUUUCGCCUGCAGGAGUCCAAGGCAGAAGGCAAAAGCUAAUUUUAGCCCUAGCAUGAAGAAGACAGAGCAAAAUAGGCUGAAGUGGAAACUCAAACAUGCUGAAGAUGUAUGAAAUUCUGUACAUGACGGUGGUGAUUCUUCCUAUUCUGGCUUUGUGCAUUCUGGCACCUCACCUAAACGCUCAACACAUGACAACGUGCAAUUGAAUGCCAGAGUGGACUCAGUGUGUGGUGCAUCUGAGGUGAUAUGAAAUGUCUGUG